rnacentral:rRNA from 1 species
UACAGAGGUCUCAAGCGUUGUUCGGAUUCAUUGGGCGUAAAGGGUGCGUAGGUGGCGCUGUAAGUCGGGUGUGAAAUUUCGGAGCUUAACUCCGAAACUGCAUUCGAUACUGCGGUGCUUGAGGACUGGAGAGGAGACUGGAAUUCAUGGUGUAGCAGUGAAAUGCGUAGAGAUCAUGAGGAAGACCAGUGGCGAAGGCGGGUCUCUGGACAGUUCCUGACGCUGAGGCACGAAGGCCAGGGAGCAAACGGG